UAAUAAAUAUUGGUCAAUGGACGCAAGUCUGUACCAGCCAUGCCGCGUGAAGGAUGAAGGUCCUCUGGAUUGUAAACUUCUUUUAUCUGGGACGAAAAAAGCUCAUUCUUGAGCACUUGACGGUACCAGAAGAAUAAGCACCGGCUAACUCCGUGCCAGCAGCCGCGGUAAUACGGAGGGUGCAAGCGUUAUCCGGAUUUACUGGGUUUAAAGGGUGCGUAGGUGGAUUUGUAAGUCAGUGGUGAAAUCUCCGAGCUUAACUCGGAAACUGCCAUUGAUACUAUAAGUCUUGAAUUAUCUGGAGGUAAGCGGAAUAUGUCAUGUAGCGGUGAAAUGCUGAGAUAUGACAUAGAACACCAAUUGCGAAGGCAGCCCACUAAGCAAUGAUUGACGCUGAGGCACGAAAGCCUGGGGAUUAAACA
rnacentral:rRNA from 1 species